rnacentral:rRNA from 1 species
UGGAUUAGUGGCGAACGGGUGAGUAACACGUGAGUAACCUGCCCUUGACUCUGGGAUAAGCGUUGGAAACGACGUCUAAUACCGGAUACGAGCUUCCACCGCAUGGUGAGUUGCUGGAAAGAAUUUUGGUCAAGGAUGGACUCGCGGCCUAUCAGCUUGUUGGUGAGGUAAUGGCUCACCAAGGCGACGACGGGUAGCCGGCCUGAGAGGGUGACCGGCCACACUGGGACUGAGACACGGCCCAGACUCCUACGGGAGGCAGCAGUGGGGAAUAUUGCACAAUGGGCGAAAGCCUGAUGCAGCAACGCCGCGUGAGGGACGACGGCCUUCGGGUUGUAAACCUCUUUUAGCAGGGAAGAAGCGAAAGUGACGGUACCUGCAGAAAAAGCACCGGCUAACUACGUGCCAGCAGCCGCGGUAAUACGUAGGGUGCAAGCGUUGUCCGGAAUUAUUGGGCGUAAAGAGCUCGUAGGCGGUUUGUCGCGUCUGCUGUGAAAUCCCGAGGCUCAACCUCGGGUCUGCAGUGGGUACGGGCAGACUAGAGUGCGGUAGGGGAGAUUGGAAUUCCUGGUGUAGCGGUGGA